CAUUAAUUUCCCUUGUUUUCUUUUGCACGCUAUUUUUUUUUAAUUUAAAUAAAUUUAUUUUUUGGUUUUUGGUGGUUUGUGUUCUGUUUCAGUUUCUGUUGUUAAAUCGUCAGAUUCUCAUCGCUUAAGAAAAGAAAAAAGAAAAAUAAAAAACCCACAAAGAAUCUCUUUUGAGAUCCAACACCACAAUGCCAAUUUCUCUUUAAUCCUGCCCCUAUAACAAUUGCGGUUUUUCUUUCUCUAUCAUUCCCAUUGUCCCUCUAAAUUACCACUAAACCCACUCUUUUCUCACUCAAUUCUGUGCCCAGUGUUCAUUGUUUUGGGUUCCCAGAUUCGAUUCACCUCUAAAGUUUUGUUUUUUUGGACCGGAUCAAAAGCUUCAAUUGAGGCUCUAGUGGAUUUGUGGUGGGGUUUUCAUGGUUGUUUGAUUUGUUGACUUUUGGGUUUGAAUUGCUGAUCAUAAGAAGCUGAGAUUGCUGGGAUUUGUGUUUGGUUGGUGUUGCAUGUAGGGAAUUCUUCAGUUUGGGGCUCAAAUUCAGUGAGUUUUGGUUGAAUGCGGAGAAGGAGAUUUCUAAGGAUUUGGAUUUUAUAAAUUUUAGGGUUUUGGCUUUGAUUUGGUGACUCUACAUGUGUAAGCAGUAAGGGGUCCUCUGCUAGACUGUGGAGGAUCCCUAUUAAUUGUUUUAUUAUUUUCCUAAUUAUUAUUGUUGAAGAGGUUGAGAAAUGCAAAUAAUAACAAUCAGUUGAUUUGAAGGCUUUGUUUUUGGCAAGUUGAGGGAUUUUGCAUACUUGGCAUUUUGUGGAUUGGUAUUGAUUGUCGCACAUAUAUAUACAUAAACUGUUUUUGGGAGGGCGAUGUUUGGUUCUAGUACAGCUACCGGCCAUGAAGAUACUGUAGUGGUUCCUAUGCGCUUUGUGUGGCCGUACGGAGGGAGGAGUGUCUUUCUCAGUGGCUCUUUCACUGGUUGGACUGAACACAUAUCUAUGUAACCAAUGGAGGAUGCCCGACUGUUUUCCAAGUUAUUUGCAGCUUAACACCAGGACACCACCAGGUUGGCUGACUGCAAUGCUUGAUAUUAUUCUCAUAACUCAGCUUGUCAAGGCAUUUUUAAGAGCUAUGAGACUUGAGUAUAUUUAAUGUCAUAGCAUGUGUUAUUUGAAAUAUUUUCAUUGUAUAAUUGGCGUCCUGGAAUUUUUGAUAUGAAUGUUAUGUCUAUAUGUAGUAUAGCAGUUAACGCCAAUGAUUAUCAAGGAGCAAACAUGGACAGAAUGUGAAAUGCUACUUCUUAAUAGUUAUAUCCAAUACAUUCUUGCACAUAAAGUGUUAAGAGACAAAA